GCUGGCUUAGCUCAGUUGGUAGAGCAUCGGUUUUGUAACCGACGGUCGUAGGUUCGAGUCCUAUAGCCAGCUCCA
rnacentral:tRNA from 1 species